UUGCGCCUGCGGCGGACCCGGCACGGACUGUUUUUCGGCUUCGCAGGCAGCCUGUCUGUGUACGGUCUUGUACAUCCCGUAAUUUUACGGGCUUUAAUGCUUUCU
rnacentral:sRNA from 1 species